UACGAAGGGGGCUAGCGUUGCUCGGAAUCACUGGGCGUAAAGCGCACGUAGGCGGCUUUCUAAGUCAGGGGUGAAAUCCUGGAGCUCAACUCCAGAACUGCCUUUGAUACUGGAGAGCUUGAGGCCGGAAGAGGUAAGUGGAACUGCGAGUGUAGAGGUGAAAUUCGUAGAUAUUCGCAAGAACACCAGUGGCGAAGGCGGCGACCUGGUCCGAUACUGACGCUGAGGCGCGAAAGCGUGGGGAGCAAACAGG
rnacentral:rRNA from 1 species